rnacentral:misc_RNA from 1 species
GUGAAUCAUCAAAUUUUUGAACGCAAAUUGCACUCUCCGGUUUUCCGGGAGAGUAUGCCUGUUUGCGGGUCAGCCUAAAAAAAUCGACAUUGUUGCUGUUAUUUAAUGGUGACUUUCGUCGGAGAUUGGGUUAUCUUAAACCUUUUUUUUUUUUUUUUUUAGCGAGUUUAAAUUUUUUUUUUCAGUUUUAUGAAAGUUUUUAAA